rnacentral:rRNA from 1 species
CCUACGGGUGGCUGCAGUGGGGAAUAUUGGACAAUGGGGGGAACCCUGAUCCAGCCAUGCCGCGUGUGUGAAGAAGGCCCUCGGGUUGUAAAGCACUUUCAGUGAGGAAGAACGCCUGGUGGUUAAUACCCAUCAGGAAAGACAUCACUCACAGAAGAAGCACCGGCUAACUCCGUGCCAGCAGCCGCGGUAAUACGGAGGGUGCGAGCGUUAAUCGGAAUUACUGGGCGUAAAGCGCGCGUAGGUGGCUUGAUAAGCCGGUUGUGAAAGCCCCGGGCUCAACCUGGGAACGGCAUCCGGAACUGUCAAGCUAGAGUGCAGGAGAGGAAGGUAGAAUUCCCGGUGUAGUGGUGAAAUGCGUAGAGAUCGGGAGGAAUACCAGUGGCGAAGGCGGCCUUCUGGACUGACACUGACACUGAGGUGCGAAAGCGUGGGUAGCAAACAGGAUUAGAUACCCCGGUAGUC